rnacentral:rRNA from 1 species
GGAUUAGAUACCCUAGUAUAAAAAGGUAUUUUAGAUUAGUAAGAUGUGAAAUUUAAUUAUUUUGGCGGUUAGUUAUUAUUUAGAGGAGCUUGUUUUGAGUUAGUAGUUACUCUUUGGAUUUUGCUAAUAUAAAGUUUAUUCAUCUCCGUUAUAAGGUAAGGAUUAGAAUAUAAUUAGAAUUAUUAUUUCAGGUCAAGAUGUAGCAUUUGUUAGGAUAAAUUAGCUACAUUUAUGUAUUAAUGGAAUAACAUAGGAAGAAAUGUAUAUGAAAUUGGAUUUGAUUGUAAUAGUUAAUUAGAAAAUUAAUGUGAAUUAAAUUUGAUUAGUGUACAGAUUGCCCGUCACUUCUGUUGUUGAAAUAGAAUAAGUCGUAACAAAGUAAAUUUAAGG